rnacentral:rRNA from 1 species
AAUAGAUACCCGGGUAGUCCACGCCGUAAACGAUGAGUGCUAAGUGUUAGAGGGUUUCCGCCCUUUAGUGCUGAAGUUAACGCAUUAAGCACUCCGCCUGGGGAGUACGGCCGCAAGGCUGAAACUCAAAGGAAUUGACGGGGGCCCGCACAAGCGGUGGAGCAUGUGGUUUAAUUCGAAGCAACGCGAAGAACCUUACCAGGUCUUGACAUCCUCUGACAACCCUAGAGAUAGGGCUUCUCCUUCGGGAGCAGAGUGACAGGUGGUGCAUGGUUGUCGUCAGCUCGUGUCGUGAGAUGUUGGGUUAAGUCCCGCAACGAGCGCAACCCUUGAUCUUAGUUGCCAUCAUUCAGUUGGGCACUCUAAGGUGACUGCCGGUGACAAACCGGAGGAAGGUGGGGAUGACGUCAAAUCAUCAUGCCCCUUAUGACCUGGGCUACACACGUGCUACAAUGGACGGUACAAAGAGCUGCAAGACCGCGAGGUGGAGCUAAUCUCAUAAAGCCAUUCUCAGUUCGGAUUGUAGG